rnacentral:rRNA from 1 species
GACGAACGCUGGCGGCGUGCCUAAUACAUGCAAGUAGAACGCACAGUUUAUACCGUAGCUUGCUACACCAUAAACUGUGAGUUGCGAACGGGUGAGUAACGCGUAGGUAACCUGCCUGGUAGCGGGGGAUAACUAUUGGAAACGAUAGCUAAUACCGCAUAAUAUUGAUUAUUGCAUGAUAAUUGAUUGAAAGAUGCUAUUGCAUCACUACCAGAUGGACCUGCGUUGUAUUAGCUAGUAGGUGAGGUAACGGCUCACCUAGGCGACGAUACAUAGCCGACCUGAGAGGGUGAGCGGCCACACUGGGACGGAGACACGGCCCAGACUCCUACGGGAGGCAGCAGUAGGGAAUCUUCGGCAAUGGACGAAAGUCUGACCGAGCAACGCCGCGUGAGUGAAGAAGGUUUUCGGAUCGUAAAGCUCUGUUGUAAGAGAAGAACGGGUGUGAGAGUGGAAAGUUCACACUGUGACGGUAUCUGACCAGAAAGGGACGGCUAACUACGUG